rnacentral:rRNA from 1 species
ACCUACGGGACGCAGCAGUGAGGAAUAUUGGUCAAUGGACGAGAGUCUGAACCAGCCAAGUAGCGUGAAGGAUGACUGCCCUAUGGGUUGUAAACUUCUUUUAUAUGGGAAUAAAGUUUUCCACGUGUGGAAUUUUGUAUGUACCAUAUGAAUAAGGAUCGGCUAAUUCCGUGCCAGCAGCCGCGGUAAUACGGAGGAUCCGAGCGUUAUCCGGAUUUAUUGGGUUUAAAGGGUGCGUAGGCGGACUGUUAAGUCAGCGGUAAAAGCCCGGGGCUCAACCCCGGCGAGCCGUUGAAACUGGCUGU